CAGGAGACGUGGAUUUUGCCGCAAAGGUUCCACUUUGCGAGACCUUACAUCAGCUAUAAAAGUGCUGAAAGUAUUGAUGAAUUUAGAUACCAAAUUUUAGGAUAAUAUCAACAACAGUGCAACCUAUAAGUCAGCAAGCAAAAACAUCAGCAUCAAAUCCGAGCUACACAACAUUUGCAUCCGCCGUCCAUCCACAUGGAAUCGGAAGGGGCGCCGCGUUUCGACGCUAAUUGCGUCAGUCAGCGACCACGUCAACGUGGUCGAAGUCGAAGUGAACGAAAUCCGAGCCUGACUGCAUUCAGCUUGAUGUAUGGUCACAUUUGGAUAUGGCUGAUUUAAAGCAUAUAUGCCCAUUGAUGGUUUAUCAGCUGGAAUCUGGGCUUUGCAGCAAUAACAGAGAAGCUAAAAUGAACCAGAAAACUGAAAUUAAAGCACCAG